AGCAAAAGAGAGCUCUCCAUUACUGCGGUCUUUUUAAUCUGUGUAACUGCAUGUGGCUUGCUACAAAAGUGAACUAGAAGGCAAUGGGCUGAAAGGGGCUCAGGAACACCGAACUAAAUUAAACUCCCCAACCCAGCUACUUCAGAUAUGACCAAGAAGAUAGCUCCUGCAAGGGGUCAUUGAAGCUGAUAUCUCAUUCCUGAGGGUAAGCAAGGAUGCAUCUCCUGCAUGCGUGUGGCUUCAGACCCGGUCCUUAUGCUGCUCGCCUGUGCGCUUCUUUGGUCCCUGCACAAAUGAUUGCCAGUUGGCACAGGAAAGUUUCCUACAAUGGCAGAAGAAACAAAGCAGCUCUGCCAAGGAACCUCCGGAAGAGGAUUGCCGAGUACCUCCAGGAAACUUUCCUAGAGAUCUUUCUAGAGGAUUCCCGUGAAAUCUCAGUGUUCAUUAACACACUGUUCUGCGGGGGUUUGUGACAGGGUGCUAAGCAGAAAGCUGCUUAGCCAAACCCCUGUCACUCCAGCUCCAAUUAAGGGAGGUGAAUUGGAGCUGAGUAGAUCACCUGGCCCUGAUUGGGGAAGCUGGAACAGCUGCUGCCUCAUCAGGCUGCAGCUGGAUAAAAGCCCCAGAGGAAGGAAGCCAGGGGAGGAGCUGGGAAAAGGAGAAGCUGCACUAAUGGAGAAGUAGCUUGUCUCUUCUCUGGCUGGUAGACAAGUAGAAAGGGAUUGUAUGUAUUGUGGUGAAAAGGUGGUGGGAACACUACUUGUAAAAUAAAGCACCAGGUGAGCACUGCAACAAGGACUCGGAGUGACUUUCUCAGCCCAGCGGGGGCAGGAGGCAGGUGGGCCCAGCAGGGAACUUGCUACAGGACCCCACUGCAUAGAUGUGUAGCAGACGCAAACACUGCUAGUCUUGUCCAUUUCUAUCCCUUAACCCACUUCUAGCACAUAAAAGAAUAAAGGACAGCUCUGCCUCAUGUAAGCAAGCAGUAUCAACUCAAAACAAGCACUUACCAGAGCUUUCCUCUCCUGCAUCAUGCACGCCAAAGACAGAGUGCUGGGACUGGCUCCAACCUUCCAGGGUUGAGAAUAGGUCCUGGCUCACCACAGCACAGGCCUGUUCCACCUCAUCCUCAAUUCCACUUUCCCGUCCACCACUUCACCCUCAGGGUUGA